CUACGGGGGGCUCCAGUAAGGAAUAUUGGUCAAUGGACGCAAGUCUGAACCAGCCAUGCCGCGUGAAGGAUUAAGGUCCUCUGGAUUGUAAACUUCUUUUAUUUGGGACGAAAAAGGGUCUUUCUAGACCAACUGACGGUACCAGAUGAAUAAGCACCGGCUAACUCCGUGCCAGCAGCCGCGGUGAAUACGGAGGGUGCAAGCGUUAUCCGGAUUCACUGGGUUUAAAGGGUGCGUAGGCGGGUAGGUAAGUCAGUGGUGAAAUCCUAGAGCUUAACUCUAGAACUGCCAUUGAUACUAUCUAUCUUGAAUAUUGUGGAGGUAAGCGGAAUAUGUCAUGUAGCGGUGAAAUGCUUAGAUAUGACAUAGAACACCUAUUGCGAAGGCAGCUUACUACGCAUAUAUUGACGCUGAGGCACGAAAGCGUGGGGAUCAAACAGGAUUAGAUACCCUUGUAGUC
rnacentral:rRNA from 1 species